UGAUUGCUUUUCUGCAAGUCGCUUCGGAUAAAAGCGUCUGCUAAAUGACUAAAU
rfam:Larimichthys crocea isolate SSNF unplaced genomic scaffold scaffold18, whole genome shotgun sequence.